UGUACAUGAGUUUGAAUUUGUAUUAAAUGAUAAUAAUGAGGUAAAUUAACAAUAAUAACAUUAUAAAACGGAUCCUUAAAAUAGUCAUCAUGCACCCCUCACUUAAAAUAUUCUCAGCAUAUGCAAUCAGUAAUCCUAUUAGGUCAGUUUAGUACUUAAUUAAUAUAAAGCUACCAUAAAAUUUCAAUAUAUUUGUUCCAUAUACAAAAGAAAAAAAAUGAUAUAGAUCUAAUACUAAUGCAUGCAUAAAUCAUGAAAUUUCACUUAGAACCCCUGAAUUUUAGCAUAAUUACAGCUAGAGCCACAUGUUUCAUUUAUUGCAAUCACACCCCCUAAAUCUAAUUAGAUUAAAGAAAAAACCCCCAACAAAAUCAGGCACUACCCCCAACCAAACCCUUCAGCCACAACCCCAUCCAAGCCCAUCCUCAAUCCAUCCCCAACUAACCUCCCCGACCAAAAAUCCCACCCAACCACCCCGGCGCACCACCAAGCUCUUGUGGGUUAGAGGUUUAUAAAUGAAGAACAGAAAAGAACAAGAAGAAAAAAGUACUUCAACACAUACCUUUGCCACUAAUGGUACACCUGCACACUUUUUGGCAAUCUCCCUUCCGAUUCUCUCUUGAUCUUCAGUCAAAACAACACUCGCAUCUAGAAACGCUUUAUACUUCAAUAUGCACCAGCAUUGAUCCUCCGAUAAUUUUCCCAGAACACAUGUAGGAAGUGUUUGUACAAUUGAUGAAACACUCACAUUGCGAGUAGUGACAAGGAUUUUGCUUGCUUUAGUGCUUGUAGCAUUCAACAAGCAACUCAUCAAAUCGUCCCAUUUGCUACGAUCGUCGUUCCAAACAUCGUCAAGCACGAGAAGAUAUGUCUUCCCUUUCAAAUCUUCUUGCAGGUUUUCACAUAUUGUUGCUUUACCCUUUAUCCCAGCUUUCUCUGGUUUAAGACAUUCCAAGAUCUCGCUUAAAAUCUUUUUGACUUCAAAAGGAGUAGAUACACAUACCCAUAUUUUUUGAUCGAAGUGUCUACCUAUCUCAGGAUCAUUAUAUACAGAUUUAGCCAAAGUUGUCUUGCCCAAGCCUCCCAUCGCCACAAUGGCCAUAACAGAAAGACAAUUGUCUUGGUUCUUGCCAGAGUUGAUCAGGGUUGUAACUAUGUCCGACGCAACCUCCUUCCUUCCAACAAUGUACUUUUCAUCUUGAUCAAAGUUUGAGACGGUUUCCCUGUCAAGUCCUCCAAUAUCAUGAGAUGUUGCAUUGACCAGUGUUGACCUAUCAACCAGUCCAAUACUAGCUGCCUCAUUCUUCAGGUUUGCCAAAGAUGCAUUGAUGUUUUUAAUUUUAUGUGCCAUUUUGCGACGAAAUGCAAUGGGAUUGUGGCGUGAAAAGAAGUUGAGCACCUUGUUCUUGAUCUGAUUUUGGAUCUCCACUUUCCGCCGGAGAAGUUCAUAUUCAUAUUCAUCCAACACAUCAUCUGCUUCAUGAGCUAUGCCUUCCAGAUCCUUCACCCACAUCUCCACCCUCUCACCCCGAACUUGUAAAUGUUGUGCAUCUCUGAGCAUAGCUUCCAACUUGAAUAAUGAGUCUCGUAGAGUUGUUAGCUCUCCUUUGAAUCCCCAGAGAAGACUGAGUUCUUGCUCUGCAAGUGAAGCCACCCUCGUCAGAAUUCCCUCAGCACCAAAAGUAAGAAACUCUGCAGCCAUAUUUUCUUUCAGUGUUGCUCAAGACAGAGAGCAGAAUGCUUAGUUUGGGUUAGAAAAGUAGAGCAAAAUUGAGGACGCAAUGUAUCUUUGAGAAGGUUGUGAGGGAUUUGUAGACAAGAAGGUGCGCAUAUGGCUGGCGUAAAAAGAUAUAAUAAUUGAAGAGAGCAUCAAGUGCUGUCGGUUGGAUUAUCGGGGUUGUUUGGAAUACUUUUGAAAAAAUAAUAAUGAGAAUCGGCACCAAGUCAUUCUUUAUCCCGCUCCAGUCCAAAACCAAAAAGUCACAAGAAAUUAAAAAAUUUAUAAUGGCGACGUGGUGGGGACCUCGGAUUUGAUGAGACAUUAGGCUACUGUUAAUUACUUUUCUUGUGUCCGUAGACGCUUUUUGAUUAAUCGAUGACAUUGUCGUUGUUGAGAAAUAAUCAAAGAAAGUUGUUAAUAGCUCAUCAAAUUUGCACGUCAUUAGGUUCCAUGAGGAGCGCUUGCCCUUAAACGAUUAUUAAAAGAUGCUAAGUGCUUAAUAAUCUUUUUGAAGCAGUCAAAGUUGGACAAACAUUAUUUUAACUCUAUGUUCAAGAGGGCCUGGGACAAUUAUUUUGAAUUUUGAUUCUUGAAUAAAAUUUUAAUGCAAAGUCCUUUAUAAUGAAUACACGUCAACGUAGGAAAUAAAGCAAUGUUAUGUUACAAAUUGAAACGAAACAAAAUUAUAAGACAGUGUUUUAGUUAUAAAUACAGUGGCAUAUAGUAAGUAUUACGCUACAAAACUAUAAGUUAUAAGUAGAGAAUCCGAAUUUUUUCCAACUGAAUUAUUUGUUAACACGAAAAUCGAACUUGGAAUCUUUAUCCUUUACCUCAAUUGGGUCUAAUUUAAUGCUUAUUCAAUGGUGAAAACACUUCUUGCUACUAUAAUAAUACUACUACAUUUGAGCCAAGACUCAAGUCUUAGGCUAUCUUCAGUCAUAGGGCUAAAUAUCGUCUAGGGCUAAAUAUUUAGCCUCCAAAAUAUUAAUUUUUUAAAGAUAGUAUAGGGCUAAAUUUUUUCAUCUCCAGCCAUGCAAGGCAAUAUUUUAGGGUCCUUUAUAUUUUAUUAUUUUGAGAAAAACUAUGGUACAACACUCAUGCAUUCCACAACUAUGUAUUGUUUAAUUUAAUUAAACUACUAUUUAGAGACAAUAUUCCAUGACCAAUAAUUUUUUUUAAUUUUUUUUAAACAACACUUGAAAACAUUUAAAAAGGUGACCACAUUUAUUUAUUAUUAUUUUUUAAAAGGAUGAGUUUCAAUGGUCUGACCUCCAACGAUCAUGACUAGUAAUUUUUUAUAAUUUUUUUACAAAUUGAAAAUAUUUGAAAAGGUGAUCACAUUUUUUUUUAAAAAAAAGUUGGGUUUCAAUAGUCUGACUUCCAAUGGUCAUGACCAAUAAUUUUUUUAAAUAAAUGUUUCUUAAACAACACGAAUUGAAAACAUUUAAAAAGGCUUUUAAAAAUAUAUCGAUGAAGUCAUCACUUUUAUUGUUGGCUGUUGGAUAUGAAUUUGCACGAGAUAAUUCGUGUUGUUGCCCACACUUAAUAAUUUAUCUUCUUCAAAAGCACACACCUGAACCCUAAAGCUGGGCCAAAUAUGGCCCAGUUGGAGGGCAAAAUGGCUAAAUUUGGCCAAAAUUUUAUUUAGCCCAUGACUGGAGAUGAGUUUCGCAUUAUUUUAGAGCUAUAUUUGGGAUAUAUAGGGCUAAAUGUAAUCCAGGACUAAAUAUUUAGCCCUCUAAAAUAUUAAUUUUUUAAAAAUAAUGUAGGGUUAAAUUGAGAUACUUAAAUACAAAUCGAAUCUAAAUUCAAAAACUAAUAAAACAAUUAAUCCCAAUAAUAAUUUAGGAGAGCGCCAAGUGCUGUCGGUUGGGCUACUAAUCCCACGAUGAUUGUGUGGAAUUAUUGCAUGUAAUAAUUGUGUGUGGAAUACUUUUGAAAAAAAAAUUAAAAUUGUGCAUGGAAUAAUUGUGGAUAGAUAUCCUUGUGCUUAGAUUCUGGAUGAGGUUGUGGACGGGCUUAAAAUGAAAGGAUGGUAUAGUUGUUUUGUCCAUUUGUGAUUAACAAAUUUUCUUUGUAUAUUGUCACCCAAAUACAUAAACUAAAUGCAAGGGACUUGUAUUAUAACUGGUUAAAAAUAUUUAUUCAUAAAUUGAAGGUAUUAAGUUUAAUUACACUUUUUUUUAGAAUUGCUUUUUAUUAAAAAAAAAAAUACAUGAACUAAAUGAACCGUUUAUCACGAGAAUCUUAAUUAUUAUCAAAUUCCAGAUUUUUACAGGAAACUUACAUUGUGAAUUUACUUUAACCACCAGGACCUGCAACUAAAUAUAAUCCCAUCCCAAUUCCAAACAAUCAAUUUCACAUCUGUAAAAUUUUCUCGUUAUGGCCCUCAAUUUCACUAAUUAUGCGUAUUAUCUCAAAAUUUACAACGAACAAAUAAAUUCCACCGGGGGUGUCCGAAUGACUAAGCAGUACAGGAACAGAAAUAGAAAAGCUUAUAUGUGAUUGCCAUUUCAAGUUGCAACUGUUGUUACUCUGCCUUCCUCUCAAUCUCUUCCAGUGCUUCCCACAAUUUUGUCUCCUCAAAGUCUCUUCAAUAACGAAGGCCACUACUGGCAUUCCAGCUGCUACUCCAGCUUUCACCCCUGAAACAGAAUCCUUAACAACCAAAAACAGAACACAGAUGAGUGCAAGGCAUAUCAAAAACUUACUGGAGAAUGCUGUUGUUAGUAUUGCAAAGCACACAGUUCUGAGAGCCGAACCUCAAAUGCGAAAGGGUCAGGAAAUGGUUUCGCUCCAUCACAUUCAUCUCCAACAACAACAAAUUCAAAGAAAUUCAAGAGCUCCACCAUUUGGCCUUGGAGCAUUUGUCCCUGCAGUCUGUAUCAAGCCUUGAUUUUCAAUCCAUUGGUGCAACUUGUGGAGGUCCUUAACAGGUUCUACUUGUUCAGAUGCCAAUCUGAUCUCAUUGGAUGAGAGAAAAUGAAACAGAUGAAGCAUUUUUUUCUUUCAGAAAACUAUUGGAACACUCUGAGUAUAUAAUUGAAAAGCAUUUUUUUUCUUUCCAAAAACUGACAAGAAAAGACGACCCCCUGUUAUUAAUACCACAUUAUGUCCAAAUCAAUAGGGUGUGUGAUUAAUCUAAAACGUCACAAAUUUUGUCUAGCUUAAAACAAAAUAAAAAAGCUUCUGAUUUUGUUGCAUAGCAGUUUACUUGAGUUGCACAUUCUAAAACAAGAAAUUCUUAGCAAUCUGAUGUGUAACAUAAAUACGAAAUACAUAAAAAAUUAAAAAUAAGAAUAAAAAGAGUUGAUUUUUUCACUUCUCUUUUGUUCACUUGGAUGCUGAUUCUUGGAUUACACUUAUAAAAACCAAAAGGUAAGUGGACAAAAACAGAGUGCGAAAAUCAGCAGCCAAAAAAAGGGAAAGAGAGUGGAGCAAUAAGAUAGGAUGCUGGUUCUUGGGUUGUUGGGCUUGGUGCUUUAAAUGUUAGGAAGCUCACAUUUGUAUCCAAAAUCCAUCUUUGGACACCCAUGUUAAAUUUUAAAUAAAUUUUUAGUUUUCUUUGGACACAGAAUUUGACAAAUUAAAAUACAAUAUAUAAUGAAUGUUUUCAUUACUAAUAUAAAAAUUUCCACUUGUUAGGGUUUGUAGGUUCCUUAAAAAUUAGUGUUGGUCAUAGUGGACCGGUGAUCUGUCUCUUUGAUCGGGCCUGAAUUUCACAUACGUAAAAGAUGUUCUAUAAUAGCAAGCCCAAAGAGGAAACAAAUUUGUGUACUCUUUUUCCUUAAGAUUUAAAAAUACAGAGUGGAAUGUAUACCUGUAGAAAUUGGAGAGCUUUUGAAUACCUUCACAACACAAGAGAAACCAACAACCUUACUUUUUCCAGAAAGAAUCAAUCCUAUAAAGCUGUUAGAAAGCUAAUAUAAUAUCUGAGCAUCAUCUUCAAAACAGAAAACCAUCUGGUGGAAAGUACCUGGACUCUGUUUGCUCCCAUUACAAAAAAUGUUCCUUCAGGUAACAAAUAAAAAACCCACCUCCAAAUUAUGCCAAAAUAACAAUAGACCCUACCUGCAGAAGCAACAUCAUAGACAGAGAGUAAACUCAUGAGAAAAAAGAACAACAGAGGCUAGGGAGUUGCUUGUAUCAAAUACUAAUUAUAAAUACGACAUAAUAAUAUGAAUUCCACACCUGUAGGCUGUAGGCUGUAGGCUGUAGGGAAGGGAGACCUUUUCUUCAAUCAACUCUCCACACCAGCACUUGUCUCAAGGAAAAAAGCAACUGACUUGAGUUGAAUGCCAGAGGAAAAGAAAAUGUGAUAUAUGGGAGAAAAGAGUUUUAUUCUUUUUAGAGAAUGAAAAAAGAAUGAUACCUUUAGAAGCAGAGUCACUCAGUGACUUGAGUUGAGGAUCAUUUUCUCAACAACAAUUCACACCACUUUCAACUAUUUCGCAUUUCAGGAUGAUACUUUCUCAGACUAUUGAAUCUGGUAGCUACAACCGUACGUGGUCAACUAGAGAUUUAAACAUAAAUAUUAGAAAUCAUUAUUUCGUAAAGGGGAAAGAAUUAGAAAGUAAUUAAGUUCAAUGAAAUGUAGGUGAAGAAAAUAGAAUGCAUAGUUGAUUUAAGAGCCAAAAAUAAUAAAAGCAAAAAGAAAAACAUACCAUAUAUUCUUGGAAUACGAGAAAUCUUAGGCCAUUCUGAGCCGCUCUUCUUGUUGCAUCUCUCUUUUAGAAGGGGACAAUGCAAAAUCCAUAUGCGUUCUAAUUUGGUGAGGCAUUGCAUAGCUUCGAGUGUAGGUAGAUACAUCAUAUUCUUGCAAUAAUAUAUAUCCAAGUACUUAAGAGAUGUAAGGUUUCUCAACCACUCUGGAAGAGCCUCCAUUCCGUCAAAGGAUUCCACUUUGAAAAAUGUUAGAGAAGUGAAGUGUUGAAUUUGUUCAGGCAGAGACUUGAGUUUAGGCCAACCCCAUAACUUUAAUGUUUUAAGUUGUGAUGUAACCUGAAAAGCAGGGAAUGAAUCGAGCUCCUUCCAAAAGCCACCGAUUUCCAAUGUCUUCAAGUGGUUGAGGCAGGAUGUUAUUGCUAAUCCACUGGGUAGACUUUUCAAUCCAUCGCAAGAAAAUAUCCCCAAUUCCUGGAGGUUUGUGAGGUUGUCUAAACUUGUAAUAGAUUCUACAUUCGGCAACUUGCUUAUUCUCAACACCUCAAGACAAGAACAUGAUUCUAGCCUUAUUGGCAGACUUGUCAAUCCAUGGGAAUCUUCGAUUCUCAAUUCACGAAGGCAUGUAAAGCCGAGUAAACUUGGAACAGACUCUGGACUCAUGCUGCAACCAAAUAUUGACAACUUCCGGAGGGAUGGGAGGCUGUGAAUCAAAGCGGAUGUUAGCAUAUCACAAUUUGAUAUUGCCAACUCCUGAAGAGAGGUAUAAUAAUCUAACCCACUCGGUAGACUUGACAACUCCUGACAGCCUGUAAUCUCUAAUUUGCAGAGGGAUGGGAGGGCCUGUGUAACUGGAAGCAACUGUAGACCAUUGCAAUCUUGUACAACCAGUUUCUUAAGAGAUGUUGUGAGUAGCCCAUCCGGCAAAUAAGCAAGAAUAGGACAAUUGGAAAUACGCACUGAAUCAAGAAGUGCGCAAGAGCCAACUACAUCAGGAGAAGCAAUACGAGUUAGCUCUUGACAAUCUUCUAUCUCCAAGUAUGUAAGAUUCUUGUUGUUUUUUAGCAUCCCUUCUGGCAGAGAAACAAGUCCGCUUAUCUUCCUUAUUGUGAGCGAAGUAAGAGUGGUCAGCUUAUUGCUUAUGUUUGCUAUUGGCAUGCCGCUACCCAUGGAAUGUAUCUUCAACGUCUUGAGAGAUGGGAAAUGGCUAGGAGCACUUCUCAAUUUAUCACAAUUCCUCAAAACCAGCUCCUCGAGGCAAGGAAAGACCACUAUCCCACUUUCUAGCCAUUCAGUUAGGUUCCUAGCGUUGUAAAUCUUUAACCUUUUCAAUACAGGAAACGAACUACUCAUGAUCCAUGAUGGACAUUUAUCGCCCAUGAAGUUGAAAAGUUGUAAAAAUUCUAGUUUACUAGGGUGUGGUUGAAGGCCUUCUAGUACCUCUUCAUCAUUGGUGAUGCUUGACCUAUCCUCUGCCCACUGAAACUUUAACUUGCUUAUGUUUGUCUUCUUCACUAAUUUUGCUUUCUUGGCUUCUUCUCCAUCUCUCAUGUGCUCUAGAUUACUGAUAUAUAAUUGGCCUUUUAACAGGUUUAAGCCAGCCAGCUCCUCUAUUCCACGACCUGUCUCCUUACCCACAAUGAAAUAUUGUAAUGUUCGGAGAUUGGUCAAUCGCCCCAUUCCUGCGGGAAAUUUCAUAUCAUACGGAUAAAAAUAAAUAUGUCUCAAGUUUAUCAAAUUUUGCAGUUCUUUUGGAAACUCUUCAAGCUCGACCCCUUCCAUUCUUAAUGUUUGUAGAUUAUAAAGCUUUCCAACGGAUUUGGGGAGUGCUUUGAUAUUUGUAUAGGAAACAUCCAGAUACCUCAAGUGUUUCAACUUUCCAAUAGCAAUUGGCAACUCCUUAAUAUCAGCUUGAUAUAAAUUUAAGACACGCAAACCUCUAAAAUUCGGUAAGAUAUCACCAAGAACUUCAACAUUCAAGAAAAGUGAGCGCAAUUUAUGAGCACUUCUUUCUGGAACUCCUUGCAGCACUGAGGUAGGAAUAUGUGUCAUAUGUCGAGUCUCAUUGGAGUUAUUGCUCUUCCGUUUUGACACAUGUUCUGCGAGAUCAUGCACAAGGUCGUGCAUUUUGCAACUUGUAAUAUUACCAUACCAAUCCUUUUCAACGUCUUGAAAGAAAGAGUUGUUCAAUAGAAUAUUAAAAUAUUCAUUUCCUAUAUCCUCCAUCUCUAGAUUACGUCUGUUGGGAGGAGAAGGGUAAAGCAAUCCUUGAGCCAUCCAAAGGUUGAUCAAGUCAUCCUUUUGAAUUUGGAAAUCUUUGACAAACAUUGAGCAAUAUGCAAAACAUUGUUUCAAAUAUGGUGAUUUCAAUUUAUCAAAACUCAACUUCAAAACUGACAAGAUUCUUUCUUCUCCUUCUGGUAAAUCCCAUAUUCUACUUUCUAGAAUUGACCGCCAUCCAUCAAUAUCUUGAGAACGCAUCAUAUUUCCCAAAACCUAGUGUACAUGAGUUUGAAUUUGUAUUAAAUGAUAAUGAGGUAAAUUAACAAUAAUAACAUUAUAAAACGGAUCCUUAAAAUAGUCAUCAUGCACCCCUCACUUAAAAUAUUCUCAGCAUAUGCAAUCAGUAAUCCUAUUCGGUCAGUUUAGUACAUAAUUAAUAUAAAGCUACCAUAAAAUUUCAAUAUAUUUGUUCCAUAUACAAAAGAAAAAAAUGAUAUAGAUCUAAUACUAAUGCAUGCAUAAAUCAUGAAAUUUCACUUAGAACCCCUGAAUUUUAGCAUAAUUACAGCUAGAGCCACAUGUUUCAUUUAUUGCAAUCACACCCCCUAAAUCUAAUUAGAUUAAAGAAAAAACCCCCAACAAAAUCAGGCACUACCCCCAACCAAACCCUUCAGCCACAACCCCAUCCAAGCCCAUCCUCAAUCCAUCCCCAACUAACCUCCCCCACCAAAAAUCCCACCCAACCACCCCGGCGCACCACCAAGCUCUUGUGGGUUAGAGGUUUAUAAAUGAAGAACAGAAAAGAACAAGAAGAAUGCAUGCAAAAAGUACUUCAACACAUACCUUUGCCACUAAUGGUACACCUGCACACUUUUUGGCAAUCUCCCUUCCAAUUCUCUCUUGAUCUUCAGUCAAAACAACACUCG
rnacentral:lncRNA from 1 species